rnacentral:pre_miRNA from 1 species
AGUGGUUCUUAACAGUUCAACAGUUCUCUAUUAUAAUUGUGAAAUGUUUAGGACCACUUG